UAGGGAAUCUUCGGCAAUGGACGGAAGUCUGACCGAGCAACGCCGCGUGAGUGAAGAAGGUUUUCGGAUCGUAAAGCUCUGUUGUUAGAGAAGAACGUUGGUAGGAGUGGAAAAUCUACCAAGUGACGGUAACUAACCAGAAAGGGACGGCUAACUACGUGCCAGCAGCCGCGGUAAUACGUAGGUCCCGAGCGUUGUCCGGAUUUAUUGGGCGUAAAGCGAGCGCAGGCGGUUCUUUAAGUCUGAAGUUAAAGGCAGUGGCUUAACCAUUGUAGGCGUUGGAAACUGGAGGACUUGAGUGCAGAAGGGGAGAUUGGAAUUCCAUGUGUAGCGGUGAAAUGCGUAGAUAUAUGGAGGAACACCGGUGGCGAAAGCGGCUCUCUGGUCUGUAACUGACGCUGAGGCUCGAAAGCGUGGGGAGCAAACAGG
rnacentral:rRNA from 1 species